ACCAUAGCUCAGUGGGAGAGUGUCUGCUUUUCAUGCAGAAGGUCCCACGUUCAAUCCCCAAGGCAGAUGUG